rnacentral:rRNA from 1 species
CAGUAGCCGCGGGAAUACGGAGGGUGCAAGCGUUAAUCGGAAUUACUGGGCUUAAAGGGUGCGUAGGCGGGCUCGUUAGUCAGGGGUGAAAUCCCACGGCCCAACCGUGGAAGUGCCUCUGAUACUGCGGGCCUCGAGGGGGAUAGGGGCGUGCGGAACUUCCGGUGGAGCGGUGAAAUGCGUAGAUAUCGGAAGGAACACCGGUGGCGAAAGCGGCGCGCUGGAUCCCUACUGACGCUGAGGCACGAAAGCCAGGGGAGCAAACGGGAUUAGAUACCCCGGUAGUCCCUGUCUCUUAUAC